AAAAAUGCAAUGAAAAGGAAGAGUAAGUAAACACUGUUCUAAGAGAGAGAAGUCAUUUGCUGUGAGACUUCUUGAAUAAGAUUUAUUGAAAACCACCUUUGAGUUAAUUGCUGAAUUUAAGGCAUUGGAGAAUGUCUUAGUAGGCUAAAUUCGCUUGUCGGCGUUAAGAUAUUAAGUGAAUACUGUAUUUAAAUGCAGUGUUAAUUUGAGUGGAACCGCGAAAUAACUCGUCUCAUUA
rnacentral:ncRNA from 1 species